CUUCCGAUCUCCCAGUGUUUAGACUACCUGUUCAGGACUCCCAAAUUGUACAGUAGCCUGCACAUUGGUUAGAGAUC
rnacentral:pre_miRNA from 1 species